UUCUCUUCUCUCCUCCCUCCAUAGCUCUCGGCCGAAACCCCGUAUAUCACCUCACCAUUUUUCGAUUCUUGUUCAUUAAAUCCAAGCCUCAUUCAAGGUGCACAAAGGUGAAUAACGGAAGGUGGAACUCACGGAUCAUCAAGGACCUCUCUAGUGUGCUUUUAUCCACUCAUUUUCUCUAGUGUUUCUUCCCUAGCUUCAAAGCUAGUAAGAUAUGAUGGUAGCGGUGGAAGAUUGUGUGAUGAUUCCGUAUCAUAAACCUACCACAUGGAGCUUUACGCACCUCAAAGGAACUCAAGGAAAGUGAUCUAGGCUUGU
rnacentral:lncRNA from 1 species